ACACGUGUGCGGGCUGAGUCGCCGGGGCCUGGAGGGGGAACCGCGCGCUGCGGCUGCUGCGCUUGCUCCGUCCCCGGACGCCGCUGGCUUGCUUCCCUUGUCAGCUGUGUGGGGACUGGCAGAGGGUGUGAGAGCGGGAAACGACCGGACGAGCGGCGGGGAGCGUCCUGGGUGAGGAGGAGGAAGUCUGGUCUUAGGUGUGAAGGAUGCUGACGCGUUCCGGCGCGUCGCGGUGCCACUCUCGGCUUCUGAGCGUUGCCCUACGCCGCAGCGGGUUUUCCUCAGCUGUGAAGCGCGGCUGCGUCCUGCCCGGGCUUCCCCCCGCCGGGACGGUUCCAACGCCCGAGCCCAGCGGGCUUGGGCCUCCGCUGUCGGGCCAGGCUAGUUGCUCCGGGGCUGGGAGUUACGGCACCGGGGUUGGGGCGGAGAAGACGAACUAGUUCAACUCGACCCGGUUAAGCAAGCGCAGCAGUGUGUGUUCUUGGAUCAUAGUAUUUCAUGUAAACAUUUUGAUUUAAGAGAAACAAAAGGGAAAAUAUUAACCGUUUUCAAGCAUCCAAAGGCGAAAUGCUUCAUCUCUGGGAUGGAGUAGAGGAGUAGCCUCUGCGGUUGAGUUGCAGUCGUGGGUGCAAGAAGCAGCGCUGAAGCAGAGUGCAGCCCCGGAAUAGGGCGGGAUGGAAUGGCCUGGGCAGUUCAGAAACCCGCGAGGAGUCCAGGGCGGAACAGGUAGGGAGCAGGGGAUUGUAUUGAAAGAUGAAACUGAAAGAGGGGUAGUGGAGACCAGAUCAUGAAAAGCCAUAUUAGGCUAACUGUGGCGCUUAUGCUUAAUCCUCAUUGACAGAUCUUGAGAUCAUUUUGAAAAAUCACUUUGUCUUCAGUUUGGUAAAAGUUUGGAGAAGGGCAGGACUUGGAAGACCAGCUUAGGGAGACUAAAUAGUAGUGACCUCCAAGGGAGAAACUGGACAGAAAGAAUAUUUAUAUUUAGUGCCACAGAACUCCGGGGGUAUUGUUUUCUCCUUUAAUUUUACUUGAAAAAGUAAUAAAUGCACAUACUAAAAAAUUCAGAGUGUACAAAAGAAUAUACAAAGACUAUUAAGGUGUGGGAUUGAGGAGGGUUGAACAGGAUCCCCCAAAAUUCACGUCCACCUAGACCCUCACGAUAUUAACUUACUUGGAAAUAGGGUUUUUGCAGAUGUAAUUGGUUAAGAUGAGGUCAUACUGGUAUAGAAUGAGCCCUAAAUCGAAUGGUUGGCGCCCUUAGAAGGGGACACAUAGAUAAAUGUGCACAGAGGGAAGAAGGCCAUUUGGAGAUAGAAGCAGGGAUUGGAGUGAUGCAACUGGAAGCCAAGAAACGCCGCAGAAUGCCAGGAGCCAGCAGAAGCUAAGAAAAGGCAAAGAAGGAUUAUUCCAAAGUGCCUUCCGAAGAAGGUUGGCCCUGCCAAAAACCUGAUUUCAGACUUCUAGCCCCCAAAACUGCAAGAGAAUAAAUUUUGUUGUUUCAAGACA